rnacentral:rRNA from 1 species
GAUGAACGCUGGCGGCGUGCCUAAUACAUGCCAGUCGAGCGAACAGACGAGGCGCUUGCUCCUCUGACGUUAGCGGCGGACGGGUGAGUAACACGUGGAUAACCUACCUAUAAGAAUGGGAUAACUUCGGGAAACCGGAGAUAAUACCGGACAAUAUAUUGAACCGCAUGGUUCAAUAGUGAAAGACGGUCUUGCUGUCCCUUAUAGAUGGAUCCGCGCCGCAUUAGCUAGUUGGUAAGGUAACGGCUUACCAAGGCAACGAUGCGUAGCCGACCUGAGAGGGUGAUCGGCCACACUGGAACUGAGACACGGUCCAGACUCCUACGGUAGGCAGCAGUAGGGAAUCUUCCGCAAUGGGCGAAAGCCUGACGGAGCAACGCCGCGUGAGUGAUGAAGGUCUUCGGAUCGUAAAACUCUGUUAUUAGGGAAGAACAAAUGUGUAAGUAACUAUUCACGUCUUGACGUUACCUAAUCAGAAAGCCACGGCUAACUACGUG